CAGGUGAGAUAGACAGAAAGACAGACAUGUGAGAUAGAGACAAACAGACAGGUGAGAUAUAGACAGACAAACAGGUGAGAUAGAGACAGAAAGACAGACAGGUGAGAUAGAGACAGACAGACAGGUGAGAGACAAUCAGACAGGUGAGAUAGACAGAAAGACAGACAGGUGAGAUAGAGACAAACAGACAGACAGGUGAGAUAUAGACAGACAAACAGGUGAGAUAGAGACAAAGAGACAGACAGGUUAGAUAGAGACAGACAGACAGGUGAGAUAGAGACAGACAGAGAGACAGGUGAGAGACAGACAGAGAGACAGGUGAGAGACAG